AAGCGCACAUGGUGGAUGCCUUGGCAGUCAGAGGCGAUGAAAGACGUGACAGCCUGCGAUAAGCUUCGGGGAGGCGGCAAUAUCCUGUGAUCCGGAGAUUUCUGAAUGGGGAAACCCACUUAGCGUAAGCUAGGUAUACUAAUUUAUUAGUAA
rnacentral:sRNA from 1 species